GCCCUCUCAAGGUUGCACCUGGAGAGUUUCCAGUCCUCUACCAGUCUCGGCUAUGGGAGGGAGAAUCAAGCAGAAGUAUACUCAUUCCAUUCCUAGCUUGGCCAGGGGCUAGUGAGUGGAAGGCAAUCUGCUACAAGU